GACGAACGCUGGCGGCGUGCCUAAUACAUGCAAGUAGAACGCUGAAGAGAGGAGCUUGCUCUUCUUGGAUGAGUUGCGAACGGGUGAGUAACGCGUAGGUAACCUGCCUGGUAGCGGGGGAUAACUAUUGGAAACGAUAGCUAAUACCGCAUAAUAGUAGAUGUUGCAUGACAUUUGCUUAAAAGGUGCAAUUGCAUCACUACCAGAUGGACCUGCGUUGUAUUAGCUAGUUGGUGAGGUAACGGCUCACCAAGGCAACGAUACAUAGCCGACCUGAGAGGGUGAUCGGCCACACUGGGACUGAGACACGGCCCAGACUCCUACGGGAGGCAGCAGUAGGGAAUCUUCGGCAAUGGACGGAAGUCUGACCGAGCAACGCCGCGUGAGUGAAGAAGGUUUUCGGAUCGUAAAGCUCUGUUGUAAGAGAAGAACGAGUGUGAGAGUGGAAAGUUCAAACUGUGACGGUAUCUUACCAGAAAGGGACGGCUAACUACGU
rnacentral:rRNA from 1 species